UUGUCAACUCUUAUUGAUUUUCCUAUAGAAUUUUAGAUAUUGAAAAAUAAUAUCCAUGUCACUCAUUUCAAAAAUAUUUAUUAAAAUUCCUAGUGAAUUAGUUCAUGACCUAAAUUGUUGAAUGUUCAAUUUAAAAAUACCAACUUCGUUAUUGGCAAUAAUAAAAAAAACAGUAAUUUUUUUUCGUCAUGGGCAAGGACGCUAAGCAAAUUAUUAAAUUAUUUAAACGUCUAUACAGUAUACUUAUAAAAAUAUGGAAUAUAGUUUUACCAGUGAUUUAACCAUAGUAGUAUGUAGAGAUCUUUAAUUUAAUUGAUUCAAUAGUAAGAUAGCCGUAGGUUAUUCAAUUCACGACCGAUGGUUUGGAGAAGUUAAAUAUAAAUUAACCAAAAGCCAAUUGACGAUGAUGUGAGAAAGUAAAAAUUCAAAGCGGUGUGUCACAGAAAUGAAGACUGCGAAGCGGCCGUAACGCACGAGCUAGCGAAAGGAAAAAUGGCAGGGUUGGCAUGAUUUAAAUCAAGUGAUUUUUUUAAUUUUAA